CUGACGAGUCCCAAAUAGGACGAAACGCGCAUC
rfam:Schistosoma rodhaini strain Burundi genome assembly, scaffold: SROB_scaffold0001435